AAAAUGUUAGUUCAAAAACACUCAUUCACAAUGAUGUAUUUGAGUAAAAUUAAAAGUAGUUAAAUCCAUUAUUUAAACAUUUAUCCAUUACCCAAACAGUUCAGUAAAUAAAACAAGUGUACCUCAAACGGGAGUCAUGUUUACAUCUGCCGAUCGUUGCAGCUCUGGGAGACGAAAAACAAGGUUGGCACCUGGACCGAAAUCAAAACAGGAACUAGCUUCCAGUAUGACAAAUGCUUUCAGGCGAUAUAUGCGUGAGAUAGUAAAUGAGAUAAUUUACGGACCACUCCUUUAGGUAUAAUGAGCUGCAAAUAAUUAUUCAAUAAUAAGACGCUAAGUAGGAAGUGGAGGUGUGUCUAUCAGUCAAAACGUAGUGACGGCUCGGUAACAUAUACAAAUGACAGCACUAAGAGUAACGGCUGAAUAUUGUAAUGUGCGUGCUAUGGUUAAAAAAGAACUACGGGAAGCCAAGAGCUCUUUGAAAUGCAAAUUGCUGUAGAUGCAAAAUGUAAUCCUAAACAUUUCUUUCAAUACUGUAGUAGGAAAAGCAAAGUCAAAGAGGAUAUCAGGUGCAUCAGAAAUGAAGAAGGAGCAUUGCUUUCUAAGAAUAAAGAUAUUGCUGAUGCCUUAAAUAGUUAUUUUGUUGAGAGUUUUACUAGAGAAGAGAUUACUAAUAGACUGGAAGACAUAUUCAGUACUCUUAAGUCUUAUCAGAUAUUGAAAUAACUAAAGACAAACAAGGCAGCAGGCCCUGAUGGCAUAUACCCAUAUACCACUGGCAGGUAUUUUUAGACAGUCCUUAGAAACUGGAGAAAUACCUGAGGACUGGAAGCGUGGUAGUAUAAUACCAAUAUAUAAGAAAGGGGACCGUACUGAUCCCAGAAACUACAGGCCUGUAAGUUUAACUUGCAUAAUAUGUAAAAUACUGGAAUCUAUCAUUAGAGACACGUUGGAAGUAUUUCUUGAAAAUAGCAACAUCCUAAGGGAUAGCCAGCAUGGUUUUCGUAAGGGAAGGUCAUGUCUGACAAACAUUCUGGUAUUUUUUGAAGAAGCUACCAAGUGUUUUGAUUAUAGCAAGGCGUAUAAUAUUAUCUACUUAGAUUUCAAAAAGGCAUUUGAUAAGGUACCACAUGAGAGACUUGUUAGUAAAAUUAAGACAGUAGAAAUUAGAGGAUGUAUUUCAGAGUAGAUUCGGAACUGGCUACAGGGUAGAACACAAAGAGUAGUAGUAGGAGGGAUAUGAUCUGAGCAGAAAGCUGUUAGAGGUGGAGUCCCACAAAGAUCGGUGCUGGGACCACUGCUCUUCCUCAUUUAUAUCAAUGACCUCGACAGGGACAUAGAAAGUACAUUACUCAAAUUUGCAGAUGAUACAAAAGGUAGAUUCCAUACAGCCAUUAGGAAGGAUUUUUUCACACAGAGUAGUCAAUGUGUGGAAUAGCCUGCCAGGUCACAUGGUAGAGGCAGAAACUAUGGGUAUUUUCAAGACUAGGCUUAAUGCAGUGUUAGAUACUAUCUAGUCUGUAGGGAAUCAGUGCACUAAUGUAGUUAGGAAAAUGGUGAGUAUUGUUGGGCUGAACGGCAUGUUCUCGUCAUUAUGUUAUGUUAUGUUAAUUACUGACCUUUAGUGGUUGCAUUGUCAUCAAAUUUGAAUUAGGAUUUGUCCAGCAUUGUGGCUGUGGCUGCAUUGUGUUUUUAAUCCCACCAGACACACCCACCAGCAUUUGUAUCCAAUAAAAAGCUUUUAGGUGAGAAAACAAAAACUUCCGCUUCCACUGUGUUUGAGCAUCUGUUACAUUGUUUCAGCAAUAUUUAGAGUAAUUCUUACUCUUAAAAAACAAACUCCUGAGGGUUACCUUUCAGAGGAAACUAGGAUUAUGCUUGUAGUCAAAAGGGUUCAAGUAACUAUUUUAUUUUGGGUUUGUCAUUUUCAGGUUUGUGUUAAAAAAGUGGUGCUACAGAAGGGCUUAAAAAACUUGGAGUUCUUGCUGCAACAAAUUCCUAUUGAACAACACAAGACCAAAGAUAAGAGUAGUGAACUAGUACAGAAUCUAAAUAAUAGCAUAAGACUGAGAAAAAAACUAUAAGACAGUCAAAACAAAAAAUAGCAUAAAUUAGCAAGCAAAGCUAAUGGGCUGGAUAUCUAAAUUGUAAAAGUAAACAAGAUAAGAACAAAGAAGAUAGACCUGGGGCCGUAUGUAUCAAGCCGGUCAAAGUAAAAAAUGAGUCUCAAGUGUAACUUAAGUCUAAGAAUGGGUGACUUUUACUCCUACACUCAGAUUUAAGAAUAAAAGUGAUUUAUCAAAUUUCUCUUGACUUAAGAAUACUCUUAACCUGUCAGGUAUUUAAGAGACCUCUGGGGCUCUCUUAAUUUGGCUAGGAGUAGGCAAGAUGGCCUGAGGUGCGAGGACGGAGACGUGCACGCACCUUCCGAGACAGGAAGAAUGUUUUACAAAUGUUUGAUGAUGCACAGUUAAUCAAACGUUAUCGCUUAGAUCAUCAGGGAAUCAUCUUUGUCACCGAUCUUGUGCGGGAUGUAAUAUCACCAUCAACUUUGAGAAGUAGCGUAAUUACGGUAGAGAUGCAAGGCAUUUUAACGCUGCGCUUCCUAGCCACAGGAAAAAUGCAGUUAUGCAAUAUUGAUGAUUUGGGACCAUCACAAUCCACCAUCAGCAGGGUAGUGGCAAAAACUGUGUCAGCCCUUGCAGCACCUCACAUAGUGAGGAGGUUUAUAGAAUUUCCAGCCUCUCCUCUGUUAAUCUGCCAGAAGCAAGCUGCAUUCAUGCAUCUAGCAGGCUUCCCGGGGUUGGUUGGAGUAAUUGAUGGCACCCACAUCCGUAUAAUUGCUCCCAGCGUAGAUGAAGAGACUGUUGAUGUUGUGUCCAAGUGGCCAGGAUCUACCCAUGACGCACGCAUCCUGAAUGAAAGUGGAUUGCAACAGCUGUUUGAAAGGAACAUUGUUCCACCUGGGUGCCAUCUCCUUGGAGAUAAAGGCUACCCAAAACGACGCUGGCUUCUCACACCAUUCCCAAGACCACAACCAGGGGCCCAAGAAAAUUACAACAGGGCUCACCAAUGCACCUGAAGUGUUGUGGAGAGGGGCAUCGGCUAAUGGAAACGCCGGUUCCAUGUCCUUCAUGGGGAAAUCCGCCAAACACCACAGAAGGCCAGCAAUAUUAUAAUGGCAUGUGCAGUCUUGCAUAAAAUAUGCAUAAUGUGCAACAUUCCUCUCCCCCCUGAUGAGGGAGAUCAUAAUAAUGAUAAUGAUGAUGAUGAUGAUGAUGACGACCACCCUCCUAGCUUCCCAUUUGCCUCUGAUGCCACUGUGUUUAGGCAGCACUUUGCCAACUUUCAUUUUGGUGCAUCCAUGUCCUCCACCUCGUCCGGAUUGAGCCGUGGAGUGGCAGUGGCCAGUGGGGGCUCAGGGAGCAGGGGUUCUGGGCCUGCUGCUGGAGAGGGAAUGCCAGAUGGGCC